UGCAGGUUUCCGGUGCAUGUCAAAACAUUGGGGGAAAAAUAGUGCAUUUUUUUCUGAACUCAAUUUAUUCUGUUCGAUUAUAAGUUUAUGCUGAUUGAAACAAAUAUACAGACUUUUAAAAAAUCUAGCAUCUUUUUGGGGAUAUCAAUCCAGAAAAGUGGAAGGAUAUCAUGUUUACUGGAAGUGGUGCGGCCUAGUGAAAACAGCAAACAGAAAGUAAAAAAAAAGGUUUUGACUUCCUGAUUGUGUAACUUUUUAUUCUUCGUGGCUUGACCCACUUUUAUCCCGAUUAUAUCACAAUUUCACAUAAGUACAUACAUGAAUUUUUUUUUCUAUGUAGCAUUUUUCAUUUUUUUUAUUUUCAAAGAUCAGCUGUUGUGCAUGUAAGCCUAUGGAGCAGUAAAUUACAAGACUGCAACCGACAUAGGGUAAUUUUGUCAAAUGUCUUUAAUAGCUCAUGUGGACUUUUGUGUGUCCAUUAUGAUAAAACAUCAUGAUUUAAGUACUUUUUAAGAGAAAAAAAUCAUGGGGUAUCAAAUUACACUGAAAAACUGAAAUUAUGUAAUUAUUAUGCUUUUUCAUACUAAACACCAUUCAAAAGUAUUAAUAGAUAUAAAGCAUAACAGUUUGAGGCAAAUUGAAAUUCAGAUGGUAUUUCAUACAUAAUUUUAAAUUAAAAAAAAACAUAGAAAGAUAAUUCCUCAAUAAGAUCUUCUUCUUGUGAUGAAAAUUCUAGUUGCAAUUUUUUCUUAAAAAUUAGUGAAUAUUUGAAGAGACAGCUACAUACAAAAGUAAUUGCUUUGUUUAGGGUUAUUAUUUUUAUGGCUCAAUUGUGGACAAUUAGGUAGAAUAUGUAUAAAAUGAACUUUUGGUGAAAAGAUUUUCAGAAAAUGUUCAUUUUGCAUGAGUCUAAACUACUUUUCAUAUCUGCAACACUACAUGGUUAAUUGAAAUUUCCAUAUUUGGGUUAAAAUUGGUUUAAAAAGUAGAAAUUUUUUAAAACUAUCCAUCAUGACAAGGAUUUUUGUGAUUAGGUGUGACAAGUAAUCAAUAUUCUUACCAAAAACACCAAAUUGAGUAUUCAUUUUGUUUUUUCUUCAGUUUUAUUUCAAACAUAUGCAUUGGUGUGUCGAGGACAGUUUAAGAACAAUGAUAAAGUAGGCAUGUAUAAAAACCAGUAUAGAAAAAAAAAAGAAAG
rnacentral:lncRNA from 1 species